GUGCUCACUUUGGCAACACAUAUACUAAAAUUGGAACAAUACAGAGACAAUUAGCUUGGCCCCUGAGCAAGGAUGACAUGCAAAUUCAUGAAGCAUUCCAUAUUUUA